GCAGUGGUAGUUCAGGGGUAGAAUUCUCACCUUCCACGUGGGAGACCUGGGUUGGAUUCCUGGCGAAUGGA
rnacentral:tRNA from 1 species